UUCGAGCGGCAGCGCGGGGGCAACCCUGGCGGCGAGCGGCGAACGGGUGAGUAACACAUCGGAACGUACCCUGUCGUGGGGGAUAGCCCGGCGAAAGCCGGAUUAAUACCGCAUACGACCUGAGGGUGAAAGCGGGGGAUCGCAAGACCUCGCGCGAUAGGAGCGGCCGAUGGCGGAUUAGCUAGUUGGUGAGGUAAAGGCUCACCAAGGCGACGAUCCGUAGCUGGUCUGAGAGGACGACCAGCCACACUGGAACUGAGACACGGUCCAGACUCCUACGGGAGGCAGCAGUGGGGAAUUUUGGACAAUGGGGGCAACCCUGAUCCAGCCAUUCCGCGUGAGUGAAGAAGGCCUUCGGGUUGUAAAGCUCUUUCGGCAGGAACGAAACGGUGGAGGCUAAUACCUUUCAUCAAUGACGGUACCUGAAGAAGAAGCACCGGCUAACUACGUGCCAGCAGCCGCGGUAAUACGUAGGGUGCGAGCGUUAAUCGGAAUUACUGGGCGUAAAGCGUGCGCAGGCGGUUCUAUAAGACAGAUGUGAAAUCCCCGGGCUUAACCUGGGAACUGCGUUUGUGACUGUAGGACUGGAGUGUGGCAGAGGGGGGUGGAAUUCCACGUGUAGCAGUGAAAUGCGUAGAGAUGUGGAGGAACACCGAUGGCGAAGGCAGCCCCCUGGGUUAACACUGACGCUCAUGCACGAAAGCGUGGGGAGCAAACAGGAUUAGAUACCCUGGUAGUCCACGCCCUAAACGAUGCGAACUAGGUGUUGGAGAAGGAGACUUCUUUAGUACCGUAGCUA
rnacentral:rRNA from 1 species